CAGCAGCCGCCGCGGUAAUACGAAGGGGGCUAGCGUUGUUCGGAAUUACUGGGCGUAAAGCGCACGUAGGCGGAUAUUUAAGUCAGGGGUGAAAUCCCAGAGCUCAACUCUGGAACUGCCUUUGAUACUGGGUAUCUUGAGUAUGGAAGAGGUUAGUGGAAUUGCGAGUGUAGAGGUGAAAUUCGUAGAUAUUCGCAGGAACACCAGUGGCGAAGGCGGCUAACUGGUCCAUAACUGACGCUGAGGUGCGAAAGCGUGGGGAGCAAACAGGAUUAGAUACCCCCGUAGUCCCUGUCUCUUAUAC
rnacentral:rRNA from 1 species